rnacentral:lncRNA from 1 species
CUGUAGUCUACCUUACCUAGGUGUAGUGGUGAAUGUCUGUAGUCUACCUUACCUAGGUGUAGUGGUGAAUGUCUGUAGUCUACCUUACCUAGGUGUAGAGGUGAAUGUCUGUCUGUAGUCUACCUUACCUAGGUGUAGUGGUGAAUGUCUGUCUGUAGUCUACCUUACCUAGGUGUAGUGGUGAAUGUCUGUAGUCUACCUUACCUAGGUGUAGUGGUGAAUGUCUGUAGUCUACCUUACCUAGGUGUAGUGGUGAAUGUCUGUAGUCUACCUUACCACUCAGAACAAGAGGAUUAUGGAGAUUCCUGGUCUGCAUAGCCAGCUACGGGCUAACCAGGCUAUAGAGGGAGACCCUGCCCCAAAAAACUAAGCAAAGAGAAGCAAAGGAGGACCUCUAAGCAGACUGCAGUGGGAAAACGCAGAAGACUGCAUGUGCUGCUCCCUCAGACCCUGGUCUGCCUAGCACUCUGGGAACCCAGAAAAUGGCCCUCUUCACUGUCCUCUAACUGCACAUCUUGCAGACAUGCUCCAAGUGUCUCAGUUCUCACAGGGCCCAUCUGUCCCCCUGGACACAGAGGUAAGUCCAGGGGACAGAAUGUAACCCCAGCUCAGCCAGUAAACAAAGCUAUAUUACUAUCCACAGUGUGUGUGUGCGCGCGUGCGCAUGAUGCACAUUGUAUUUCUUCUGUUUGUAAAUGAAAAUUUGGACAAGCUGGCAGGGCUUCUGAUGCUCUCCAAACGCCUUGAGGAUUACAUUGUAUAGGUUCUGUCCAAGCCAGCAACUGAGGCACAAGCCCUCCUAAGAGCUAAUGGGUGACAGACAGAAUGGUCUUAAAGACUUUGCUUCUUGGUGACUUUCAUGUC